GACGAACGCUGGCGGCGUGCCUAAUACAUGCAAGUAGAACGCAGUUGCGAACGGGUGAGUAACGCGUAGGUAACUGCCUGGUAGCGGGGGCUAACUAUUGGAAACGAUAGCUAAUAACGCAUACUACCAGAUGUACCUGCGUUGUAUUAGCUAGUUGGUGAGGUAACGGCUCACCAAGGCAAAGAUACAUAGCCGGGGUGGGGGGGUGAACCGGCAAACUGGGACUGGGGCACGGCCCAGGCUCCUACGGGAGGCAGCAGUAGGGAAACAUCGGCAAUGGGGGGAACCCUGACCGAGCAACGCCGCGUGGUUGAAGAAGGUUUUCGGAUCGUAAAGCUCUGUUGUUAAGGAAGCGGUACUUAACCAGAAAGGGACGGCUAACUACGUGCCAGCCGCCGCGGUAAUUC
rnacentral:rRNA from 1 species